rnacentral:rRNA from 1 species
GACGAACGCUGGCGGCGUGCUUAACACAUGCAAGUCGAACGGAAAGGCCCUGCUUUUGUGGGGUGCUCGAGUGGCGAACGGGUGAGUAACACGUGAGUAACCUGCCCUUGACUUUGGGAUAACUUCAGGAAACUGGGGCUAAUACCGGAUAGGAGCUCCUGCUGCAUGGUGGGGGUUGGAAAGUUUCGGCGGUUGGGGAUGGACUCGCGGCUUAUCAGCUUGUUGGUGGGGUAGUGGCUUACCAAGGCUUUGACGGGUAGCCGGCCUGAGAGGGUGACCGGCCACAUUGGGACUGAGAUACGGCCCAGACUACUACGGGAGGCAGCAGUGGGGAAUAUUGCACAAUGGGCGGAAGCCUGAUGCAGAAACGCCGCGUGCGGGAUGACGGCCUUCGGGUUGUAAACCGCUUUAGCCUGUGACGAAGCGUGAGUGACGGUAAUGGGUAAAGAAGCACCGGCUAACUACGUG